rnacentral:tRNA from 1 species
GGGGAUGUAGCUCAGUGCUAGAGCGCUUGCCUGGUGUGCAUGAGAGCUUGGGGUCCAUGCCCA